UAGGGAAUCUUCCACAAUGGACGAAGUCUGAUGGAGCAACGCCGCGUGAGUGAUGAAGGGUUUCGGCUCGUAAAACUCUGUUGUUGGAGAAGAACAGGUGAUAGAGUAACUGUUAUCAUCUUGACGGUAUCCAACAAGAAAGCCACGGCUAACUACGUGCCAGCAGCCGCGGUAAUACGUAGGUGGCAAGCGUUGUCCGGAUUUAUUGGGCGUAAAGCGAGCGCAGGCGGUUUUUUAGGUCUGAUGUGAAAGCCUUCGGCUUAACCGGAGAAGGGCAUCGGAAACCGGGAGACUUGAGUGCAGAAGAGGACAGUGGAACUCCAUGUGUAGCGGUGAAAUGCGUAGAUAUAUGGAAGAACACCAGUGGCGAAGGCGGCUGUCUGGUCUGUAACUGACGCUGAGGCUCGAAAGCAUGGGUAGCGAACGGGAUUAGAUACCCUGGUAGUCCAUGCCGUAAACGAUGAGUGCUAAGUGUUGGAGGGUUUCCGCCCUUCAGUGCUGCAGCUAACGCAUUAAGCACUCCGCCUGGGGGAGUACGACCGCAAGGUUGAAAC
rnacentral:rRNA from 1 species